CUGUGGUUGAGCAGCCGAGAGCAGAGUUGGGCGCUAGAACAUGGCACCAGCCCGACUAGCUCCAGGUACCCUGUCUCUGAGGUGACUAGGGUCGCAAUGAUCCCUACGGCGUGCUGAUGGAGACAGCCGAGAGCGCGAAGCCACUUUCAAGCAUUUCACACUGAACAUCAGAUCACGUAGAAGCAGGUGGCACCCAUGGGGAGGCCGGGUCAGAGUGUGGACCAUUGGCGGAGGGGAGCCCUUGCAGCUAGGAUAGUGUGACCACCCACUACCCAGGACAGACCCCAUGCCACAGCCCGUCUGGUCUACCGAGAGGUGAACAUGGAGAUCACAUUCUGGAAGCAAGUACAUGUAGCAAGUUUGAAGUUUUUCUCACUGGCAGACCUCAUAGGAGGGGUGCGCAUCACCCAGGGCCAAAGCGACAGGUGGACUGAAGGUAGGACCAGCGAUCAAUGUGGUUUUGCACCUCGUUUGAUGAGAUUAAUAGAU